rnacentral:rRNA from 1 species
AUUGAACGCUGGCGGCAUGCUUUACACAUGCAAGUCGAACGGCAGCGCGGGCUUCGGCCUGGCGGCGAGUGGCGAACGGGUGAGUAAUACAUCGGAACGUGCCCAGUAGUGGGGGAUAGCUCGGCGAAAGCCGGAUUAAUACCGCAUACGACCUGAGGGUGAAAGCGGGGGAUCUUCGGACCUCGCGCUAUUGGAGCGGCCGAUUGCAGAUUAGCUAGUUGGUGGGGUAAAGGCCUACCAAGGCGACGAUCUGUAGCUGGUCUGAGAGGACGACCAGCCACACUGGGACUGAGACACGGCCCAGACUCCUACGGGAGGCAGCAGUGGGGAAUUUUGGACAAAGGGCGAAAGCCUGAUCCAGCAAUGCCGCGUGUGUGAUGAAGGCCUUCGGGUUGUAAAGCACUUUUGGCGGGAACGAAAAGGACUGUGCCAAUACCACGGUUCGAUGACGGUACCCGCAGAAUAAGCACCGGCUAACUACGUG